rnacentral:tRNA from 1 species
GCCGGGGUGGUGAAAUUGGUAGACACGCAGCGUUGAGGUCGCUGUGGAGUAAAAUCCAUGCUGGUUCGAGUCCAGUCCCCGGUACCA